CCGUAACUAUAACGGUCCUAAGGUAGCGAAAUUCCUUGUCGGGUAAGUUCCGACCUGCACGAAUGGCGUAAUGAUGGCCAGGCUGUCUCCACCCGAGACUCAGUGAAAUUGAACUCGCUGUGAAGAUGCAGUGUACCCGCGGCAAGACGGAAAGACCCCGUGAACCUUUACUAUAGCUUGACACUGAACAUUGAGCCUUGAUGUGUAGGAUAGGUGGGAGGCUUUGAAGUGUGGACGCCAGUCUGCAUGGAGCCGACCUUGAAAUACCACCCUUUAAUGUUUGAUGUUCUAACGUGGACCCGUAAUCCGGGUUGCGGACAGUGUCUGGUGGGUAGUUUGACUGGGGCGGUCUCCUCCUAAAGAGUAACGGAGGAGCACGAAGGUUGGCUAAUCCUGGUCGGACAUCAGGAGGUUAGUGCAAUGGCAUAAGCCAGCUUGACUGCGAGCGUGACGGCGCGAGCAGGUGCGAAAGCAGGUCAUAGUGAUCCGGUGGUUCUGAAUGGAAGGGCCAUCGCUCAACGGAUAAAAGGUACUCCGGGGAUAACAGGCUGAUACCGCCCAAGAGUUCAUAUCGACGGCGGUGUUUGGCACCUCGAUGUCGGCUCAUCACAUCCUGGGGCUGAAGUAGGUCCCAAGGGUAUGGCUGUUCGCCAUUUAAAGUGGUACGCGAGCUGGGUUUAGAACGUCGUGAGACAGUUCGGUCCCUAUCUGCCGUGGGCGCUGGAGAACUGAGGGGGGCUGCUCCUAGUACGAGAGGACCGGAGUGGACGCAUCACUGGUGUUCGGGUUGUCAUGCCAAUGGCACUGCCCGGUAGCUAAAUGCGGAAGAGAUAAGUGCUGAAAGCAUCUAAGCACGAAACUUGCCCCGAGAUGAGUUCUCCCUGAGACUUAGAGUCUCCUGAAGGAACGUUGAAGACGACGACGUUGAUAGGCCGGGUGUGUAAGCGCAGCGAUGCGUUGAGCUAACCGGUACUAAUGAACCGUGAGGCUUAACCUUACAAC
rnacentral:rRNA from 1 species